GCCGGGCGCGGUGGCUCACGCCUGUAAUCCCAGCACUUUGGGAGGCUGAGGUGGGUGGAUCACCUGAGGUCAGGAGUUCAAGACUAGCCUGGCCAACAUGGUGAACCCCAUCUCUA
rnacentral:SRP_RNA from 1 species